rnacentral:rRNA from 1 species
UACGUAGGGGGCAAGCGUUAUCCGGAUUUACUGGGUGUAAAGGGAGCGUAGACGGCAGCGCAAGUCUGAAGUGAAAUCCCAUGGCUUAACCAUGGAACUGCUUUGGAAACUGUGCAGCUGGAGUGCAGGAGAGGUAAGCGGAAUUCCUAGUGUAGCGGUGAAAUGCGUAGAUAUUAGGAGGAACACCAGUGGCGAAGGCGGCUUACUGGACUGUAACUGACGUUGAGGCUCGAAAGCGUGGGGAGCAAACAGG